AGUGAACGCUGGCGGUAGGCCUAACACAUGCAAGUCGAACGGCAGCACAGUAAGAGCUUGCUCUUACGGGUGGCGAGUGGCGGACGGGUGAGGAAUACAUCGGAAUCUACUUUUUCGUGGGGGAUAACGUAGGGAAACUUACGCUAAUACCGCAUACGACCUACGGGUGAAAGCAGGGGAUCUUCGGACCUUGCGCGAUUGAAUGAGCCGAUGUCGGAUUAGCUAGUUGGCGGGGUAAAGGCCCACCAAGGCGACGAUCCGUAGCUGGUCUGAGAGGAUGAUCAGCCACACUGGAACUGAGACACGGUCCAGACUCCUACGGGAGGCAGCAGUGGGGAAUAUUGGACAAUGGGCGCAAGCCUGAUCCAGCCAUACCGCGUGGGUGAAGAAGGCCGUCGGGUUGGAAAGCCCUUUUGUUGGGAAAGAAAAGCAGCAGGUUAAUACCCCGCUGUUCUGACGGUACCCAAAGAAUAAGCACCGGCUAACUUCG
rnacentral:rRNA from 1 species